UCGGGGGUCCUGUCCAGUGCGAGCUGCUUGUGCUUCUCUUUUCAUGCGAUUUACAUCCUCACUUUGGAUGCUCUUGUCUACUCGGUGCUAGAUUUCUCGAAGUGUUCGAGGAUACUCCCAAUAUAUCUCAGUGCUGAACGCACCUAUUAUUAACCCAUUUGUAAAAGUAACUAUGGUCACCUGCUCAUUUUGAUUGAGUAUUUGCACGUUUUCAUCGUGGAACCUUUGCACGUAUGAGUAGAGGGAUUCCUCCGGAAUUUGUUGUAUAUUUAGCAGGUAGGCCGAGAUUUUUGUCACGGGCAGAGAUAACACGAAACGGUGGAUAAACUUAUCCACAAGCUCUCUCAGGGAGGAUAUGCUCCUAGGUUCUAAGUUCUAGAACCAUUUUCGAGCAGUUUCUUGUAGGAAAACAGGAAAGGCUCGGCAAAUUAUAGAAUCGGGAAUACAAUAUAGCCGGAAGGCAGAAAUGAAGGUAUGGAGGUGGUCCUCCGGAUCAUCUCGCCCACCAUAGGGCGACAGCACUAGAAGUUUGAAGUUGGGGGCAACUAUUUUCCUAUUUAUAUCGUCGGUGAAAGGUGGAGCCCUCAUGUAAUUGACUGCCAGCCCCUCUGGGUGCCGAGGUGGCUCCUCAGUUCGUCUUCCUAGCAAACCCCAGGAAAACGCUUUGGAAAUGGAGGCAAUCUUGGAUGUGGAAUUGCACGAGGCACGUUUUGAGGUUCUCCGGACAUGAUGUCUGUCAUCGGAGUCCUCUUCGGAAGGCAUCUCAGGUGAUUUCGCUGGCCUCCUCUUGGAAGACUCGACUUUUUCUUUAUCUUGCCUUUUAAAGUAUCUUCCUAACUCUUCGAAGAUGUUCAAAUUUUCUGCUACAAACUCAGCCAUGUGGGCGAUGGCUUCUUCGUUUGUAGGUUGGGUCCUCAGGGACCCUGGUUCUUCAGAGAUGUUAUCGUGCUGGGCGGCUGGGCUCGGCUCAGCUCCGAUGGGGGGAACCCUCCUAUUCCUAGAGCUCGUAGAUUUCAUAUCUUAAGAGUAUCUUUGAUUCUCACAAACAGCGCCAAUUGAAGAGAUGAUUUCUAGUUAGGUAGCCGAACUAUCCUAAGUUGGUUCCCUCUUAAGCGAGAUGAGUUUUUGUGGUAGACUUCUGGACCAAAGUAAUAGGCGGGGCUUUGUCUCCUGGGAUCAUUCCGACGAUCAAAUCAGUUUAGUGAGAGAAAAUAAGAACAAUAAUAGAUUUGAAUGUAACAGUACUCUUACUUGUAUUGGAGGAAGGAGGUGGUAUUUAUAGGAUACCAGAUGGAGGGAAGGACAGCAGGUUUAAGUCUGUGGACCCCCACAACCUGUACUUUACGGCUCUGUCUUGCAUAUUACGGCUCUGUCCUGACACGCAGCAGUGGCUCAGGCUUCCUGUCAUGCAGGCACGUGAUUUCUCGAAAAAGUGUGACCAUGUGGCUUCCCGAUAAAGUACCCUUUACUAUUAACCUGUUAGUCGAAAUGAUAAGGGAUGAGCUGGUUCUGACAUCUGCGCGGAGGCGAGAUGACUGAUGUCGCCCAAAGGCUCGGUGUAGUCAGAUGCGGGAGUUGAGAUGACCUCGGGCCGAGAUGAGGGAAAUGACUAGGCUCGGAUUUGUAGUUCGAGAUAGACGAACCGAGGUGACCGUCCUCAGUGCCAAAAGCGAUGCCUGAAACUUAUGUUUUUCCUCCAGAUAGGAGACCAGGGAAGCAUAUUCCAAGCUGCAAAGAUAGUCCAACCAUUGACCUCAAGAAAGCUGCAGGGCUUGAACGCACUGAAGUCAUUGAGCAGAUUAUGAAAGCAAGCCAAGAAUUUUUGGAUUCUUUCAUGUUCGUAGUGCUGGUUAUGUUUGAACUAAAAAAUUAGAUAUAAUUCUUGAUGAUGAUUGUCUAAAAGCAUUAUUUGGAAUGCAUUAUCAAUCUUGCUAAAUGCUGUUAAUACAGGUCAAUAAUCAUGAAGUUUCUGAAGGCUUAAUGGAGGAGACAAUGAGUGUUAUUCAGUUCUUUAGGCUGCCAGGUGAGUAUAAGGCUAGCUUUCACUCCAAUGACAUCAAUCAAAGCAACAGAAUCUUCUCAAGCACUCUAAAUUAUCAAAAAGAAGGUUUUCACUAUUGGAGGGAUAACUUAACACAUUCUUGCAUCCUCUGGAGGAUUAUAUUCAAUUUUGGCCUGAAAAGACUACCAGAUGUCAACCAAAGCUGUUGCAGGUUAUAUUGAGACAUAAUUAGAUGGAACUAAGAAGGUUUCGAUGGUUUUUUGAACUUCUAUGUUUGUUACCAUGGUUCAAAGACUCGGCCGAGUCGUCACUAGAAUGGGGCUCCCUGUUUCGAUGUCGAAAUGAUAUAAUUUCGAGAUAUCUGAAUCACCAAAAACUAGACUGAGAAAUUGGUCGAGAAGUCGCCGAUAUAGAUAGAAAAGGCCGAGUCAUACCGAGUCACCCCGAGUCAAUUCGAAUUCAACUAAAAAACAAUAAAAAAAAGCAAGAGAAAAAAAGGAUGAAAUUGCUGGGUGGGCUUGAUUCUUGGUUUGAACUGUUUCACAAAAACAAGUCCGAGAACCCGAAAGAAACAUUUGGAAACAUGUUAUUCAAAUAAUAGACAAUAAGCAAAGUGCGGUUAUUAUCUGUGCGUGUGUAUGCAAGUUGAGGCAAAACAGCAAAAGAUUGCACAAACCAUGAAGAUUACAGUUUUUAGUUUCUGGAAGAAGACAAAUGUUAUUUAGGUGCCCCUACAAGUUUAGCCUGAAUAUUUUCAAGCAUCUUUUCCAGCCUUACAAGAGAGAGAGGAAUCGACUAUAUUACUGAUUCUCUUCAAAUACAUCAAAUGGGGAUUCCACAUCCUACAAACGUAAAAUGUGAGUUCAAAAAUAUGACACGCCCCACAUUGAUGAAGAUCCUACAGAUGUUUUUGACAUGUAAUUAAUUGGAAACUUCUUGAGUUUUCGUCUAGAGCGGAUAGAGUUGGACUAAAUCAGAUGCUUAGAAAUGGUAUAUCUCCUAAUGUACAAGAUUAUGACACAAGAACUGCCCUUCAUCUUGCUGCCAGCGAGGGCCGUGCCUCCAUUGUUAAGCUUCUUUUGGCCUACAAUGCUCAAGUACCACUACAGGAAAAAUACGCUUUUUGUGACGCUUUUGCUGCGGCAGAGGGAGAAAGUGCUGCAAAUAAGCAGCGCAUGACAGGUUGUCAGCCUGUGCAAUAAUAAAAACCUGCUCAACUAAAAGUAAUUUUUGUAGAUAGGGGUAAAUAGGGUCGAAUCUAUAGGGACUGGGAGUAAUUGCUUCUUUUCAAAUUCACAAUAACCAGGGGGGUAUUUUUGUGUAGAAGACGACAAACAAAGAAAUUCAAAUAAAAUCUAAGAAACUAUUAAAAAUUAAAUAACAAUUUACUAAAAUCAAAUGAGUGAUAAUUAAUGAUCUAGCCAAGAAAUAACUUCAGCAAUGGUUCGCCCAAUUGAUCAUUGAAACAAAGGCAAUUCCAAAUAUUUACUAAUAAAUAGGUUAUAACUGCCAAACAAGCGAUGACAGUCAACCCCUCCUUACUGUGUCGGUGAUUAAGGUACGCUCGUUAAUCACUACUCUAAUUGAGAAAUAAUUCUAGGUACGCCCAUAAAAUUUAAUUCCCCAAUUGCCUUACGUAUUAGAGGAGCCCUAUUCUAACCAAAUAACACACUACCAGGGUUAUUUUAGAUUAGCCCGCGUAUUUCCCUGACACAAACCCAAUCAUGCCAGUUAUCACUAUUUUGAGACAAUUAAACAAUUACGAAUUUAACGUCCCAAUUGACAAUAGAUUAUCAAAUUAACUAAUUAUCCGGAUCCAAGACAAUCAAUUAAUUAAACAAUCAUAAGCACUGUAACCAGGGAAUAUUCGAAUACCAAUAAAUAAAAGAAAAAGGUAAAAUUAAAUCGAUUUCACAAUUUUAGACAAGCCAAAGUAUCCAUUGCUCAUUGACUAGAAAAAUGGAUUUAGCUCAUUCCUGACAAGAGAGACCCACGCAAAAUUGAGGCAACGCGCGCGGCCAUCGCUUUCGUUUGGGAGAACCCAAUUCGUUCGAAUAAAUGAAAGGAAGAGCAAGCUACAACAAUUGAUUCAAUUGUUUCUGAUUGUCUAGGCAUGCGAGAAGAAAACUACACCAAGAUGGGAAAUGGAAAAGUCAAAGUGAAACAACUACAGAGAUUCAAUCAAUUCUCCAUUUGUUCCUAACAUCCACGAGGGAAGAAAGAAAACUACUAAGAGGCCCCACUAAAAAUGAAGAAGAAAAGUCAAAAGCUCCCUAAGUAGUGCUUGUCCUCUGCAUCUUCCAUUCUUUCUAUUCUAAGUCUACUCUAAUGCCUGGCCACCGUGCGGCGGCUCCCCCCGAGAGGAAGAAGAAGUUCCAGCCCUUCGUUCCUUUUCCUCUUUUAUGCUAUCUUCAGCCAAAUUACCAAGAAGGGUCGCGGCUUGAUAUUCCAAAAAUGGCCCUGGAUGCCUACUAUUUGAACUCUUUCCUGAUAACUGUGAAAUUGGCACUUGUUAUGGUAUUUUCGUUCUACUCCCUGAAAUAUAUGCCAAAUACUAAAAGUGAGUAGAAUCCAACAAUUAAUCCACAUUAGGUCAGGUAGUAGGGAAAAUUAAUAAUAAAAUAAAUGAUAAAAUUGUAACUUAUCAAUUCCCCCCACACCUAAACCAUACUUGUUCUCAAACAUGAGAACAGUAAACAAGCACCAAUAUUUGACAAUGGUCAUUGCUCCAUCUACCAUAUUGCCAAAUACCAAGAAAAUCAUAUAUCAAGUAUCAGUGAUCAAAAUCCGAGAAACAUCACCCAGGUUAGCCUCUAAACCACAAACUCCUCCAAUUUCAGGUUAACUAAUCUAAGAAAAAGGAAUGAUGCGCAACAUUUAUCAGCAAAUGGUCCAACUAUUAACCAAAAUCUCAACAUUAAAUCCAUAAAUCGGCAAGCUGACCUUUAUUAUACACUAACACAACUUUCACUUUUUUAUUACAUUUUUCUACUUUUCUUUUUAUUUUUUAUUUUUCUCUUUUUUUUUUUUUUGCUUUUCUCAAUAGUAACAAAAGACUUAGUCGCUAGCCAUUGGAGCCUUUUGACGCGAACUCUGACAUUUGUUAGAUGAAAGAGCCCGAUUACUCAGUUUCUAUCGCCACAUGACCACGCACUCAUAGCAAUUACUACUUUUUGACGCGAGAAUCGACACUUUUGGUGAAAAUCCCCGGUUACUCGGUAGUAAAUACUAGCGGAGUACAGUCAACUCUUAUUCACAGCCAAAUAACACCAAAAAUUCAAAAUAACACAAAAAUCAAAAGAAAAUUUGCAGCUACUAGCCUCAUUUUUAAAUAUAAAGAACUAAGGUUAAUAACCGGACCAAUUCACAUGAAAAUGCCAACAGUCAUUCCCUAUGCCUAGGAAAGUUAACCAAAAAUUAUAAAAGUCACACAUUCAUCGAUAUUCACCACAGAGAUAUUCUUAGAUUCAACCACCUCCACUUGAUACACUUCCAUUACUAAAACUUGGCAAUAGCAGAAAUAGAGGCAACAAUCCAACAUCAAACUUGGCAUCACAUACGAGCUAAUCACUAAAAAGAAAAAAAAGAAAAUGAACGAAAGAUGGACAAAUAACAAACUAAAAAGAAAGAAAGAAAAAAUCUAAAAACUCAAAACUAAAGACACUAGCACCAUAACUGCUCCCCCUAUACCUAAAUCCUACAUUGUCCUUAAUGGAGGUAAUAAAGUAAUUAAAGCGAAGAGAACAAUGAAACUUCCCUGUUGAAUAGCUAAGGAAUAGGAGGGAACAGUGGAAUGAAACCGAUGUGAUGGAAGUACGUGGCCAAGUUCUGAGACAUCUCAACUCAAUUCAACCAGCAAAUGCAAAACUCUGUUCACCCAAAAUCUCAACAAAUUCUCCAAUUGGACAGUGGAUAUCUCAACUCAAAAUCGGCAAUUCCCGCAAUAGCAGUUUAGAAAUUUGACAAUAAUAACUCAAUUACAAACUCUCAGCUAUCAGUUAGACAACCAACCCAAUAGAAGCAACAAAAUCAAGGCCAAUUACCCCAACCAGUACCCACUGGUGUGCCACACAGUUAAUGUAAAAUCUUAAACGGUCAACCCAAAUCACUUGAUAUCCCAACCAAUAGCAAACGGCACCAGAAAUAAGAAGGAAUCAAAAUGGCAACCACCGUGCACAGAACUCCCAAACAAUUCCCAAAUAAUAGGUGUCAAAAACAAGCAAAUCAAUCCCACUAGUGCAAUACAGGGCAACCAAGUAAGCAAGGUCAACAAGAAAUUAAAAUAACGAUAGUCCAGAAAAUGAUGUCCCAGAAAAUGAACUAGCGAUUGGGAGCAUACAAUACCUCUACCUGUCAAAAAUUUGACAAGUAGCGACGGUGCGCACGGCAACGGAAAGAGGAGAGGUGGUGGAGCACAAACGUCACAAGAGGGAGAAGAGCCCGGCGUGCGUCACGGUUGGAGAAGGGGGCGCGCGACAGAGGGGGGCUCUGCAGCUGCAAAUGCUUGCUGGGUACGCGCGAUGGUGGGUGAUGGAGGCGGACGCGAGGCUUGGAGGUGCGGCGAGCUGUGGAUGGAGACGGUGGCGGUGAACAGCGUUGCGUGGUGCUCGUGGCUACUGGUGGCGCACUGGCGUGCACGUCGAUGGCGAUGGAGGGCUAGACUCGGCGGCGCUGGUGGAAGGCGUGUAGCGCGACACUGGUCGCGCGAGGUGGUGGCGAUGGAGUUCGUAUGGAGUGGCGGCGGUGAAGGCUUUCGGCCAAAAGAUUGAAGAAGGAAAGGGAAACAGGGGCAGUGGGGGAGAAGAGGAAGAAAAGGGAAAGAAAGAAAGAAAGAAAAAGAAAGAAAAGAAAGAAAGAGAAGGAAAGAAAGAAAAACAAAAUAGUUUGUUUUUUUUUUCAAAUUUUUUUUUUGACGUUUUGGUUUUUUUUAUUAUUAAAUAAAAAUUUGCACUUUGGAAAUCUAAGCUAUGGUGAAUAAAAAAUUUUAAAUUUUUUUAAAAAUUAAUUUUUACUUAAUUUUUUUUUGAAUUUUUUUCUUUUUUUUUUUGCAAAUUUUAUUUUCGAAAUUCAAAUUAGAGAUUAACAGAGAAUCAAUAACCGUUUUUGAGUUUUUUGAUUACUUACCUUUCCCGCGAACGUGACGUCGGCACGUAACGGAGGCACGGAAUGAGGAGCUUUCCGGCUGACUUGACGCGGGCACGUCAUGAGGGUAAGAACCCUUUCUGACAAUCUAACCAUGAGCUCUUCAUGGGACUUGAUGCGGGCACGUCAUGAGAAUCGAAACCCUUUUUACUAAGCACUAAUCGCACUGUGCCACGCGGCCAGUUGAAGCGGGCGUGUCAUGUCAGAGGGAUACCUACGAAUCAUCAAAAACGAAAAUUGAAACCAGAAAUUAAUCAAACUCAAGAAAAACAUAUUUAAACUAUCAAACAAAAGCGAACAAAUGACUAAAAAAAAUUGGGUUGCCUCCCAAUGAGCGCCUUUCUUUAAUGUUUUUGGCUAGACAUUGUCAUGUUUGUUUAGGGAGGAUAAAAUCUUGUGGCUCGUUUCAAUGUUUCAUCCUCUAUAUAGUCCUGAUAGCCCUCAUAAAUAGAGUAAUCUUUGGGCACACGAGUUACGGGCUUCCAUGGACUAGUAAAUGGCGCUAAACAAGCCAACGAUAAUUUGUAUUCUCCAUUCACUCCCCCCUCACUUGCAUUUAUUGGUUCAAUAUAUCUUGCCAUCGCCACUCUUAAUUUAUUCCUGUCAUGUAAUUCAAAAUUUUCUGGUAUAAUAAAGUCAAUUUCAUUAACAGGAAUUGAAGAAUAAGAGUCAGGAGGAUAUUGAUUAAGGAAUGGAAGAGAUGUCACCGCAUCUGGAGAUUGUUUACUGGAUUCAUUCACUUGGAUGAGUUGAUACUGGGGUCUCAUUUCUUGCACUUCAGCUUCCUUUUCAAUUGCAUCUUUAGAUCUGUUUUCUUGAAACUCUUGCAGUUCCAUGUUAUUUGGCGGGAUAAUUGCACUCUCAUCUUCCUCAAGGUUGAUGUUGGUCUGUGAGGGCAAUUCUUCAAGGUGAGAAACUAAUCGCGUUAUCUUAGAUGUCAAUUGAUGCAUUUGAUCCGCCAUCCCUUGUAUCUCCUGCUGAAAUCAAUAUGUAUUAACAGCUAGUAAUUCAAUUAUUUUUUCAAGAGAUAUACCUGACAUUGAUGAUGGUUGUUGAGACUCUUGCUGUUGAAAAUCCAUUGGCCCGGUCGCACAAUUAAAAUUGGAAUUAUCCCACCAUCCUUGAUCAUACCUGUUAGGUAAGGAUCAUACCACGUUUGAAAUCGAGGUGAAAAAUCUCCAAAAGUAUCAAUUGGAACACUUAGAUUAUCUUGAAAUGCGGGGCAUGUGUUGGUUGAAUAACUUGAGGCAAAAUAAGUUCCACAAUUUGCAACAGCCCAUUGAUCAUUAGGAAAAACACGAGUCUCAUAACCCCAUUGAGGAAUAAAGUCCAAUCUAUCAUCAAAAUACGGAAUGUUAGCAGCCAUAAACUAUAUAAAAAAAUAAGAGAAAAAUAAACAAAAAAUAAAAACAAGAUGAACUAAAAAAGAAACAAAUUAAUCUGGUACCAGUCCCCGGCAACGGCGCAAAAAAUUGACAGGUUGUCAGCCUGUGCAAUAAUAAAAAAAAUCUACUCAACUAAAAGUAAUUUCUGUAGAUAGGGGUAAGUAGGGUCGAAUCCACAGGGAUUGGGAGUAAUUGAUUCUUUUCAAAUUCACAAUAACCAGGGGGUAUUUUUGUGCAGAAGACGACAAACAAAGAAAUUCAAAUAAAAUCUAAGAAACUACUAAAAAUUAAAUAACAAUUUACUAAAAUCAAAUGAGUGAUAAUUAAGGAUCUAAUUAAGGAAUAAUUUCAGCAAUGGUUCACCUAAUUGAUCAUUAAAACAAAGGCAAUUCAAAUUAUUUACUAAUAAAUAUGCUAUAACUGCCAAACAAGCGAUGACAAUCAACCCCUCCUUACUGUGUCGGUGAUUAAGGUACGCCUGUUAAUCACUGCUCUAAUUAAGAAAUAAUUCUAGGUACGCCCGUAAAAUUUAAUUCCCCAAUUGCCUUACGUAUUAGAAGAGCUCUAUUCUAACCAAAUAACACACUACCAGGGUUAUUUUAGAUUAGCCCGUGUAUUCCCUGAUACAAACCCAAUCAUGCCAGUUAUCACUAUUUUGAGACAAUUAAACAAUUACGGAUUUAACGUCCCAAUUGACAAUAGAUUAUCAAAUUAACUAAUUAUCCGGAUCCAAGACAAUCAAUUAAUUAAACAAUCAUAAGCACUGUAACCAGGGAAUAUGCGAAUACCAAUAAAUAAAAGAAAAAGGUAAAAUUAAAUCAAUUUCACAAUUUUAGACAAGCCAAAGUAUCCAUUGCUCAUUGACUAGAAAAAGGGAUUUAGCUCAUUCCUGACAAGGGAGACCCACGCAAAAUUGAGGCAACGCGCGCGGCCAUCGCUUUCGUUUGGGAGAACCCAAUUCGUUCGAAUAAAUGAAAGGAAGAGCAAGCUACAACAAUUGAUUCAAUUGUUUCUGAUUGUCUAGGCAUGCGAGAAGAAAACUACACCAAGAUGGGAAAUGGAAAAGUCAAAGUGAAACCACUACAGAGAUUCAUUCAAUUCUCCAUUUGUUCCUAACAUCCACGAGGGAAGAAAGAAAACUACUAAGAGGCCCCACUAAAAAUGAAGAAGAAAAGUCAAAAGCUCCCUAAGUAGUGCUUGUCCUCUGCAUCUUCCAUUCUUUCUAUUCUAAGUCUACUCUAAUGCCUGGCCACCGUGCGGCGGCUCCCCCCGAGAGGAAGAAGAAGUUCCAGCCCUUCGUUCCUUUUCCUCUUUUAUGCUAUCUUCCGCCAAAUUACCAAGAAGGCCACGGCUUGAUAUUCCAAAAAUGGUCUUGGAUGCCUACUAUUUGAACUCUUUCCUGAUAACUGUCAAAUUGGCAUUUAUUAUGGUAUUUUCGUUAUACUUCCUAAAAUAUAUGCCAAAUACUAAAACUGAAUAGAAUCCAACAAUUAAUCCACAUCGGGUCAGAUAAUAGGAAAAAUUAAUAAUAAAAUAAAUAAUAAAAUUGUAACCUAUCAACACAUUUCAAAUUGUCAUAUUGUGUUGCAAAGUUGACAGGGGCUCAUAAUUUUUUUGGCAAAACUACGUAGUUUUAAUAAAGCCAGAAAAAGGUCAAAAGAAGAAAAGAGGAAAAACCGGGCUCUUUGGCUUUCCAUUAUAUCCUUCGUUCUCCCGAUGAAUUAUUCCCUCUCUCUUUCAAACCUAUUUCCACCUCCUCAAUUUUCCUCGCAAUAUGGCCAACAAAUAUGCAGUAACCACCUUCAUCUAUGAGAUACAGAGGAAAUCCGGAAGAAUAGAAAGAUUGAUUGCUGAUCGGCUGCAGCGCCUGAAGCAAGGGUUUAACGCAAGGAAGAUGAAGGACCUCCUCGAUUUUCACUCUCAGCAGUUGAAAUCGAUUCCCAAUUGCAGUGUUUCUUCCUUGUUGUAUCUCUCUUUGUUCCUCUUCUUCUUUGUCUCUCCAAUUCUAAAAACCAUCACAUUCUCAAAGGAAUAUGGUAAAAAUUGUACCUAGCGAUAGUUUUAUCUCAAUUUUGUGUUUGAUUCUUAGGUUUAAUAACUCCUAGCAUGAUUUUGAGAAGUUAAAUUUGUUUUCAAUUUUAGGUAAUUUUGCCAAAAGUGAUUAAAUUGGCUUUCACUAGCUAGAUUUGCUUCAAUUAAUUUUGAUCAUCGGUGAAGUAAUUAAUAGCUUUGAGAGAACUUACCCAACAAUUUUGCGAGCUAUUCUGGUUCAAAAGCAAGGUAAUUAAGCUCAAUUCCUUUUGCAAUUUUUUUCACUUUACUCAUUUGUUUUAUGGUAUAAUCAGAGAAUUUAUUACAUGCCCUUAGUGCUUGGGAGUUUAUAGACUUUUAUGGUUAUUUUUAUGUAAUUUUUGCAAUUCUUUAGAAUAUUUAUAAUGUGACUUAAUGGGGGAUAAUGGUGUUUUAGUUUCAAAAGUUGGACUGCACUGCAUUUUAAUCUCCAAUUUUGUGAUUUAUCUAUUUUUCUAGUUGUCAAAGGAAAAUGUUUUUUUUAUUCAAAUAGUGGAUAGAAAUAUGUAGGAGUUGAUACUCUACAUUUUAUGUUUAGUUUCAUAGUAAUUGAGUAACUUUUUUCGUGUUGAGUUUUGGUACAGUCAAUUUUAGGUGGACAAACGCAUUCUAGUUCAAGUUUUAAAACUCUUUUUUUUUUUUUUUUAAAGUUUCUUCUCUUGAGACCUCUUCUAGCAUCCAAAUUAUGAUUAUGAAAACUAAUUAAUGUUUAAUUUGUAUAUAUUGCUGUUGAAAUGGAAGGGUUCUAAUUGUCCUGUAUUUUCUGGUUCUGAUUUUCUGUGUUAAAAAUUUUAUGAUUUUUGGUCUUGCACAGAAUUUGGCAGAUGUGAAGGGACUGGAUUAGGAGAAAGAAGAAAGUUCUACAACAUUUGAUUCUCAACUUUACAGAUGGAAAAUAUGUUCAAGAUAUGAGUCAAUUAUGAGAUUGGAAUUCUUUUUCAAGUCCUUUUUUCUACUCUUUCAUGAACUUACCUGCUUUUCUAUGCUUGAUUCGAAUAAUAGCUAUGAGUCCCUGGAAAAGCUGUAGCGCCGAAAAAUACCAGAGAUAAUUUUUCCAUUAUUAUUUGCUGCUGUCCUUACUUUAAAUUAUGCGACGCUAGGCCACGGGAAUCAGGUCUCCGCUCAUUCAUAAUUCUUUUCUUGUAAGAGUUAAAAAAUGGCAAUCAGCUACUCCAUACAUACAGGCUUCUUGAUCAAAUGUUCAUGCUUUCUUUGUCUCUAUCAGAUGUCUUCAACAUUUGAGUAGGCUUGAUCUUGGGGAUCUUGAAAGAAUUGGCUACAGUUGUUAUUGUUUAGUUAUCUUUCAAGUUUUAGGUGAAAUUAGUUUAAUUUAAAACUAGGCAUCCUAAGCUUUCUUUUGGUGGGCCACUUGCUGCGAGUGGAGCUAAAAUGAGUGAGAUAUAAGGUUCUUGAUGUUAGGUAACGUCUUAUCCUGGUUCUAUCAUAGGAAUAGUUAAAUGAAAUGAUAUUGUGUAUACAUGCAAUGAUAAUCUAUUGCAUUUGUUUCAUGCUUAGCUUUAGCUUCAGAGAUUAAAUGCUUGGAAUGGUAAGAAUCACCCAAGUAAUGGUACAUGUCCUCUUUCUAUGAGAAUGCUUUCGAUUUUGUAUGUAAAUAAUUAUUUUGGCCUUCAGCACAAUUUUGUGUGUGGUCCAAGUACGUGCUAACAUUCCUUUUCAAUGAUUUCCUUCGAAAUCUGCUUUGGCAGGCCAUUUAUAAUCUGUUAACAAUAUAAUUUAUCAUCGCCAUAUGUUGUUAUGCUUAGUAUCUUCACUGUCUGUAGUUGUUCUUGUAGUUUUUUAAGCUCUGCCUUUUGUAUUCAGGCAUCUACUAUGCAUUAAAAAAUGGAAGUAACGUUUGAAAUUCUCUGUUAACUGCAGAGGCAGCAAAGCUAGUUACUCUUCCAAGUAAAGUGGAAUGCUUGAAUGGAUUGAAUGGAGUUUCCAUUAAGAUUGUCUCUUUGGGUUUUGAGCACUCAGUUGCUGUUAUAGGUUUAUAUCUGUAUUUCAAGUGUGUGGCAAAUACAGUAUUAUCUAAACACUGGCAGUCUUUAAUAGCAAGAUAUUUUUUUCCUUUGUCUUUCUUGUUAUGAUUCUAUGCUUUAUUGACCACUGGUUUGCUGUUAAUGUUUAGAUAAAAGGGAGGCCUUGAGUUGGGGUGGAGGAGCAUCUGGAAAACUUGGACAUGGUCAUGGAUCCAGCAUAUUGGAAUUUUGAAAAAGUAACAGGUUCUUUUAUGUGGUUAAGCAUGCUUUUUUGUUCACAGAAUGAAUUUUCUGGAUAAUUGUCUUGGAAGUUUAAACUGUUAUUUUUUUCUCUCUCUCUUACUUGACUGUCUUGUGAGAUGGCUUUUUACUUUUAAGUAGAAACAAAUGUAGGUUUUGGGAUAACUGAUCUCAAUAAUGAUUGAUAACUAUGCCUAUAUGUUCACAUUCGCCUCAUUUCAGUGUUUAGAAGGGAAUGACAUGAAUGGUUGACAUGGGAAGGGUGAGAUAUGAUAGAAUAAGAAAACCUCUUCAAGCUAUAAACAUUUUUGUCAAAAUAUCAUAGGUGAUUAGCAGAUUCACCACCUAAAAGUUUCAUACAUCUUUAUCACCUAGUAUUGUUAUGUAUUGUUAUUCCUCAAUAUGCCUUGUUAAAAUAUGCUUUCACCCUUGAAGAAUUUUGAGAUGGCUGCAGCAACAGAAGCUAUUAGCUUGAUUAUAUUGGGUUUUCUUUUAUGCAGUGAAUUCACUCCAUGACUGAUUAAGGAUCUGGAGGGAGUGAAGGUAGUGUAUAUGUCUAGUUUUGUACAAGUGUCUGUUUAGAUUCUCAAGAUCACGCUCACCGUGAGUUGGUCAAGGUAUUAAUUCUUUGAUCCUUGUCACUCUGUUUCUGGAGAAUAUAAUAGGUUACAAGUGUUGCUGCUGGGAUUUUGCAUUCUGCCUGCAUUGAUGGUAAACUAUUGACCUCUUGGAGAUGGUUUAUGAUUACAAACUCUGAAGAUUGGAAUUAAACUUUUUUGGACAGCUUUUUCAUUCCUGGGGUAUUGCAGAAAAUGGCUUUGUAUAAAUUUUUCGGGAAACAGCGAAGGCAAAGAUGGUAAGACUUGGAUUGCCACAAGAAAAUUAAUGUACACCUUUGUUUCCUUUAUUUUUUUCCCUAAACAAAAGCUGCAUUUUUUCUUCCAACUUUUGAAUCUGGUGCUGUUUGAUUUAGCAUAGUUUGUUAUAUGUUGCAUUUUUUUUCGGAGAAUGUGUUAUGUGUGGAAUUAAGGCUCUAGGAUUAUAACAGAAUGGAAAUGUAAAUCAAACAGACUCUGUAUUUUUAUUGAUAGUCAUUUGUACUCAAGAGUUAGAGAUUAGGCGGAAUUUUUGGUUGAUUAUCAAAGUUAUUAUUGGAAAAGUUCUCCUUUUUCUUUUUUCACUAACCAAAAGAGAUUGCUUCACUUUCAUUAAUGGUUUUAGAUAUAUGUGCUGACUUCUUACAAUGUAAUCACUGAAGUAUAUGUGUUCUGAACUUUUGCGGGAAUCGUCCAUGAUCUGAUUGCAAAGUGUGGAGUACAAUGGUAUAAGCUAGAUCAUGCUUUAGCUGCUAAUUAAAUCAGCUGACAAAAUUAGCUAGUGCCUAUGUGUAUUGAUGAAACCCUGAUACUGUGAUAUGAUGUUUACUUUGACAUGUAUUAUAACUAAUUUUUAGUUCUUUGGCUGCCAUUAAGAUAUCAAACUCUAUGUCAGGUCAAACUGCACGAUAUUAAUGGAAUAUCAAUUGUUGAUUGUUUGCUGCAAAUCAAAGAUAGUCCAGCCCUAUCCUGUUUUCAUAGCUUGAUAACUAUUUUAGCCUGGGACUUGGAGGAUUUUGAUGUGGAACAAGCUAAAUCAUGCCAUGCUUAGAGGAUUUUGGAGGAUAUUUAUGUGAUUCUAGUUGGUAUACUGCUUAUAUAUCUGACAGAAAUAAUUCAUAGAACCAUUUGAGGCUAACAUAUGCUAUAGGACUGCAUGUUUUAGAAGAAAAGCUGCUCUGUGGCCGAAGGAACUUUGUUUUCUUCAAUAUUCAACAGUAUUAGUAGCUGUCUCUUCUUAGCUGAAUUAAAUCUCUGCCGGAAGUCUUAGUUAAUAGUGCUUACUCUUCAUAUAUUUAUAUGGCUAGUUUAACUUGUCUUCAUGCGAGUCAGCAUGUUGAAGUCAGAAUAUGUUGCAGCUUAUGAGAAAAAUGUCGAGCUGAAAAAGUUGUUUCCAUUACACUUGUAUCAUUACAAGUACUAUCUCAUUUCCAUAUUCUUGCAAUUUUAUAUUUCUAGUCAUGGGCACUAAUAUGAUGCAAGCUGUUUUACUAGGGCAUAAUUGGGAAGGACUUAAUUAUGAUGCAUGCUGCUUCAAAAUGUAUUUGAAGACAUUUCAUGAACAAACCAUUAACAAAAUGUUUACUUAUACAGAAGGGAUAUCAUAAUAUUUAAACGUCAUGUUGGUUUUUUAGUCAUUUAGACCAAUGGAAAGUUAGUAGUGGCAUGCCUGAAACUUAUUUUGGAGUUCCAAAAUCAUUAGUAGUUCCAAAAUCAUUAGCCUUCAUUUUAUUAAAGUUCAAGGUUGUACUAGUAUCUUACAUGACCAUAUUUUUUGUGUUAUUUUAGGAUUUUGAGAUGUGAAGAUACUUUUGAGAGAUGUAUGAUGAAUUUGUGCUUUCCAAGACAAGUACUUCUUGGGAAAUAUGAAACAUCUUGUCAUUGAAGUAGACUAUUAUACAAGAAAGUUCAUCAUGUUUUUGUCAAAAAAUGAUAUGUGAUAAAGUUUGUAGAAUUUGACUGAAGUAG
rnacentral:lncRNA from 1 species